rnacentral:rRNA from 1 species
UAGGGAAUCUUCCACAAUGGACGCAAGUCUGAUGGAGCAACGCCGCGUGAGUGAAGAAGGUUUUCGGAUCGUAAAGCUCUGUUGUUGGUGAAGAAGGAUAGAGGUAGUAACUGGCCUUUAUUUGACGGUAAUCAACCAGAAAGUCACGGCUAACUACGUGCCAGCAGCCGCGGUAAUACGUAGGUGGCAAGCGUUGUCCGGAUUUAUUGGGCGUAAAGCGAGCGGAGGCUGAAGAAUAAGUCUGAUGUGAAAGCCCUCGGCUUAACCGAGGAACUGCAGCGGAAACUGUUUUUCUUGAGUGCAGAAGAGGAGAGGGGAAUUCCAUGUGUAGCGGUGGAAUGAGUAGAUAUAUGGAAGAACACGAGUGGCGAAGGAGACUCUCUGGUCUGCAACUGACGCUGAGGCUCGAAAGCAUGGGUAGCGAACAGG